UUAGAGUUUGAUCAUGGCUCAGGAUGAAUGCUGGCGGCGUGCCUAAUACAUGCAAGUCGGCGGUAACAGGGGGUUCCACCGUUUCCUUGACACACCUAGCGCUUUGGUCGUAGGUUGUUACUUCGAGGGAACAGCGGAACCCUGCUGACGAGCGGCGGACGGCUGAGUAACGCGUGGGACGGACCCCAAACUGAGGGAUAACUAGUCGAAAGAUUAGCUAAUACCGCAUAUGGUCUUCGAUUAAAGGAUUUAUCCGGUUUGGGACUGGCCUGCGUACGAUUAGAUAGUUGGUAGGGUAAGGCCUACCAAGUCGACGAUCGUUAGAUGGUUUGAGAAGAUGAUCAUCCAGACUGGGACUGGACACGGCCCAGACUCCUACGGGAGGCAGCAGUAGGGAAUCUUUCACAAUGGGCGAAAGCUGAUGGAGCAACGCCGCGUGCAGGAUGACGGCCUUCGGGUUGUAAACUGCUUUUAUAUCCAGAAAUAUGAUGGUAAGAUAUGAAUAAGGACCGGCUAACUACGUGCCAGCAGCCGCGGUCUACGUAGGGUCCAAGCAUUAUCCGGAUUGACUGGGUGUAAAGAGUUGCGUAGGUGGCAUAUAAGUAGACAGUGAAAUCUGGUGGCUCAACCAUUCAGACUAUUGCCUAAACUGCUAAGCUGAGAAUGUUAGGGGUAGCUGGAAUUUCUAGUGUAGGAGUGAAAUCCGUAGAUAUUAGAAAAACACCGAUAGCGUAGGCAGGCUACUGGGACAUUUCUGACACUAAGCACGAAAGCGUAGGAGCAAACGGGAUUAGAUACCCCGGUAGUCUACGCUGUAAACGAUGGAUACUAGCAGUUUGGGUAUCGACCCCCCGA
rnacentral:rRNA from 1 species